AUGAUCAGUCGGCUGCUGAAGGGAAACGUUCUCCAAAAACAACCAUUAGAAGAUUCAAAAAGUAUAGAUAUAGGGCAAAGGCGGUGGUGGCUUGUACUCCAAAGGGUGCAGCACACUGUACACCCCAGCAGGCAGCAGCUGUUCACCUCUUUUGCUCACGCCGUCACGCUCCAGCCUCCAAUGGCCUCCGCCAGCGGUCGCCUCCGCGACCUCAAGGCCUUCGACGACACCAAGGCCGGCGUCAAAGGACUCAUCGACGCAGGCAUCACCACCGUCCCGGCCAUCUUCCGCCACCCGCCGGAUCACCCUGGCGCGCGCCCACGACGAAGACCGCUUCGCGAUCCCAGUCAUAGACCUUGCUGGAGUGACGACGGGGUCGUCCAGGCGGGCCGAGCUGGUGGCCGAGGUGAAGGCAGCCGUUAA
rnacentral:rRNA from 1 species